UACGGAGGGUGCGAGCGUUGUCCGGAAUCACUGGGCGUAAAGCGCACGCAGGCGGUCUGCUAAGUUUGGAGUGACAGUUGGUGGCUUAACUGCCAAAGUGCUUCGAAAACUGACAGACUUGAGGGCUUCAGAGGGACACGGAAUUCCGGGUGGAGUGGUGAAAUGCGUAGAGAUCCGGAGGAACACCAAAGGCGAAGGCAGUGUCCUGGGGAGUACCUGACGCUCAGGUGCGAAAGCCAGGGGAGCGAACGGG
rnacentral:rRNA from 1 species